rnacentral:rRNA from 1 species
GAUGAGCUGGCGAAACGGGUGAGUAACACGUGGGACAACCUGCCUCAAGGCUGGGGAUAACAUUUGGAAACAGAUGCUAAUACCGAAUGAAACUUAUAUGUCNCAUGACACGAAUNUUAAAAGGCGCUUUGGCGUCACCUAGAGAUGGAUCCNCGGUGCAUUAGUUAUUUGGUGGGGUAAAGGCCUACCAAGACANUGAUGCNUACCCAANUUGAAAGACUGAUCGGCCACUUUGGGACUGAAACACGGCCCAAACUCCUACGGNAGGCUGCAGUAGGGAAUCUUCCACAAUGGGCGAAAGCNGAUGAAGCACCGCCCCGUGUGUGAUGAAGGCUUUCGGGUCGUAAACCACUGUUGUAUGGGAAGAACUCCUUGAAUAGGGAAUGAUUUUAAUUUGACGGUACCUUACCAGAAAGGGACGGCUAAUACGUGCCAGCAGCCGCGGUAAUACGUAUGUCCCGAGCGUUAUCCGGAUUUAUUGGGCGUAAAGCGGCGCAGACGGUUGAUUAAGUCUGAUGUGAAAGCCCGGAGCUCAACUCCUGUAAUGGCUUUGGAAACUGGUUAACUUGAUUGCAGUAAAGGUAAUUGAAACUCCAUGUGUAGUGGUGGAAUGCGUAUAUAUAUGGAGAACACCCGUGGGAAAGGCGGCUUACUGGACUGUAACUGACGUUGAGGCUCCAAAGUGUGGGUAGCAAACAGCGAUUAAAUCCCCUGGUAGUCCACACCGUACCAAUGAACACUAGGUGUUAGGAGGUUUCCGCCUCUUAGUGCCGAAGCUAACGCAUUAAAUGUCUCCCUGGGG